UACGGAGGAUGCGAGCGUUAUCCGGAUUUAUUGGGUUUAAAGGGUGCGUAGGCGGACUGUCAAGUCAGCGGUAAAAUUGAGAGGCUCAACCUCUUCCCGCCGUUGAAACUGGUGGUCUUGAGUGGAUGAGAAGUACGCGGAAUGCGUGGUGUAGCGGUGAAAUGCAUAGAUAUAACGCAGAACUCCGAUUGCGAAGGCAGCGUACCGGCAUCCAACUGACGCUGAGGCACGAAAGCGUGGGGAUCAAACAGG
rnacentral:rRNA from 1 species